rnacentral:rRNA from 1 species
UGGGGAAUAUUGCACAAUGGGCGAAAGCCUGAUGCAGCGACGCCGCGUGCGGGAUGAAGGCCUUCGGGUUGUAAACCGCUUUAAUUGGGAGCAAGCGAGAGUGAGUGUACCUUUUGAAUAAGCACCGGCUAACUACGUGCCAGCAGCCGCGGUAAUACGUAGGGUGCAAGCGUUAUCCGGAAUUAUUGGGCGUAAAGAGCUCGUAGGCGGUUUGUCACGCCUGGUGUGAAAGUCCAUCGCUUAACGGUGGAUCUGCGCCGGGUACGGGCAGGCUAGAGUGCAGUAGGGGAGAUUGGAAUUCCCGGUGUAACGG